AUGGGAGCUCUUUCGUGUGUGUGUGUGUGUGUGUGUGUGUGUGUGUGUGUGUGUGUGUGUGUUCUCAGGCAAAAUACUGAACUUUUAAUUAUGGCGCCUUUCUGUGCGCGAUUCAUGGAGGACCUUAGCAGAUGCUUAGGGCAAACCAUGUUGCUGGCUGCUUAUUUUGAGUUCUCUGAAACUUGCAUCUUGUUAGUAUGUGGAAGUGUGGCAGCAGUGGAUGAUGAAAUUCCUAACUGUGCUAGAGUGAAAUGUUUGGCAGAAGAUCAGUAUAUUCAGACCUUAUUGUGUUCCGUAAUCUUUUGA
rnacentral:rRNA from 1 species